ACUCCUACGGGAGGCAGCAGUGGGGAAUCUUAGACAAUGGGGCAACCCGUGAUCUAGCCAUGCCGCGUGAGUGAUGAAGGCCUUAGGGUCGUAAAGCUCUUUCGCCAGGGAUGAUAAUGACAGUACCUGGUAAAGAAACCCCGCGUACAUCCGUGCCAGCAGCCGCGGUAAUACGGAGGGGUUAGCGUUGUUCGGAAUUACUGGGCGUAAAGCGCGCGUA
rnacentral:rRNA from 1 species